AUGGUUCUGGCCAAGAGUUUUAAACCAACUCACUCCCAACUCACUCUGCUCAAUAGAGGACUUACCUUUAUCCCUACUAGGGGGAUAAAUCGGAACAUCAGUGAGCAGGCGAGAUGGGACCUCCAGCAAUACCACAGGAGGCUAAAAUUUAAGGUGCAUUACCAGGGCAGAGGCAGUGACAAACCACCACCUUUUACCCCUAAAUCGGACUGGACUCCACCCGGGAGCACACUGCCGCCUGAAAUCACGGCCCUCAUCGCUGCGGACAGUGAUUAUUUUGACCGAAGAUUUCAGGCGUGCUGGGUGAAACCCAACCUCAGUACGCAGGAAGUCCAGUCCCUCAAAGAACUUAGGGAAAACAAAGAUAUUGUUAUUAAGCCAGCAGACAAAGGCAGUGUCGUGGUCAUUAUGGACAGGGAACAAUACCUUUGGGAAGGCUACAGGCAACUCAAUGACAAUACCUAUUACACCAAGCUGGACAGGCCCAUCUAUCCAGACACAGUGCCCCUGGUGGAGAAAAUCAUACACACCCUGCAACAGAAAAAAUUCAUUACGGGUAAACAGAAGAAAUACUUGCUGGACAGCACAGAACCCAGGGCGAGACGGUUUUACAUGCUUCCCAAGGUCCAUAAGAGUCCAGAUAAGUGGAGCAAACCUUUUGAGAUUCCACCUGGCAGACCAAUAGUUUCCGACUGCAGCAGCGAAACGUACCGCACGGCUGAAUACCUGGACCACUACCUGAACCCCCUUUCCAUGAUACACCCAAGCUACAUAAAGGACACCUACCAUUUUGUAGAAAUAGUGAAGAGGCUUCAGGUCCCCUACAACGCUAUGUUAUUCACACUGGACAUUGACAGCUUAUAUACAAACAUUGAUAUCAGGGAAGGCAAACAGGCCGUAAAAAACAUUUUCCAGAAACACCCGGACAAAAAAAGACCAGACAAAGAGCUCCUCCAAUUAUUAGAAAUCAAUUUGACCAGAAACGAUUUUGAAUUUAACGGUGAAUAUUUUUUGCAAACAAAAGGAACAGCAAUGGGCAAGAAGUUUGCCCCAGCCUAUGCGAACAUCUUUAUGGCUGAGUGGGAGACCGCAGCACUCGACUCUUGCCACAAGAGGCCACUCUAUUACUACAGAUACCUGGAUGACAUAUGGGGCGUGUGGACCCAUUCACAGGAGGAGUAUGAGGAGUUUCUGAACACACUAAACCACCACAACAAUUCCAUCAGACUUAAGUCAACCACCAGUCUCACAGCAGUUGACUUCCUGGACACGACCACAUUCAAAGGACAAAACUUUAAAAAUAAUAACCGAUUGGACAUUAAAGUCUUUUUCAAAGAGACAGACACCCAUGCCCUGCUCCACAGAACCAGCUUCCACCCCAAACAUACUUAUGCUGGCCUGAUAAAAUCACAGCUACUCAGAUUCAGGAGGAUUUGUAGCCACAAGGAGGAUUUCAUGCAAGCCACAAGGGUGCUGUUCGCAGCACUCAGGAGCAGAGGAUACCCCAGGUCUUUUCUUAGGAGAUGCCUUAAAACAUUUGAGCAGGUGACACCUCGCUCAGACGCUAGAGUGGUGCCCUUUGUGACCACAUACUCUCCUUCCACCAUAAAACUGGUCAGAGUGGUCAAAAGUAACUUCACACAAACAAUCGGACAUUCAGACCUCCUCCCAGAGUACCGGGUCAUAGCGGCCUUUAGAAAAAAUCCUAACCUGAGGAACCACUUGGUGAGGGCCAAACUGAAGCCUCUCAUAACCACAAGGGACAGGGGAGGGGGGGACCUCUUUAAACGCAAAAAUUGGGUCUAUAGCACAGACAAGAAAUCAGUUUUUAAGGUGGAGGUACGGGGAGACCAACACAGCAGAAACUGUGUUUAUUUGGUCAACUGCACUACGUGUGGGAUGCAAUAUGUGGGAGAAACGGGCAACACGAUACUUACCAGGUUCAAACAACACAAAUAUUGUGUGCUUAGGAACAAGGAGAAACACACCCUCUUUGUCCAGCAUUUUCGGAACCACGGAUGGAACGCGGUGCAGGUCACUGUGUUGCAGGCCAAUCCAAAGUGGUCAAAAUCUCAGAGACGCAGGGCUGAGAUGAUCUGGAUACAGAAGCUAGACACACGGGGUCCUCGGGGUCUCAAUGACAGAUAA
ensembl:lncRNA